AAAGGGAAUCAGAGAAAAUAAACUUCUAAGACAAACAUUCAUUACUGCAGCUACAAUUUCUAAUUUUAUAUAAUGUCAAAAACCCUGCCUGAAUACUAAAAUAAAGCUCAAUGAAGUUGCAUUUCAUAACCUGAGCCCAAAAUUUAGAAGAAUCAUACAAUGGGACACACAACUGGGCGUUCUAAAGAGCUAGGUACUACAAAAAUUGAAGUGGACUAUUACAGUCACUCUCCUGUUUUCCGCAAUUCAGCAGCACCAUGAGCAAAGUGGCACCUGUCUCCAAAAGUGCAAGAUCCUUUAGCA
rnacentral:misc_RNA from 1 species